AAAUACACUGGGGGAAGGGGGUGGAUCCAGUGGUGCGCCGGGAAUGAACUGACCCAAGUGAGCUGGGACAUGUGCAUACAGAGAGCAGAGGCAGAAGUCAAGGAACUGGAGGCUGAGGAACCCAGCGGACCACGAAAGCAGGGAGAUAACUAGACAGCAUGCUCGGCUGGAAGGACCAAAGUCAGAGAAGGAAAAAUGAAUAAGAAAAUGAGCAGUCAGAGGCAGCUAGGGUGACGGACAGACAGCAUGAAGCGCAGCAGAAUGAAUAGCCAGAAGACUCGGACAGGCAGAGCCGAAGGACCGCAGAGCUCAGCGCCGGAGACAUGAAAACUGAGGCCCAGACCAGCUAAGCAUUUUGAUCACGGUCACCCAGAGCCACAGUGGAGAUCAGGAGAAAACUGAUUCCCAGGCCAGUGCUCUUUUGCUUCUACUCGGUCAGAGGUGUGGGGUCCUUC
rnacentral:lncRNA from 1 species